rnacentral:lncRNA from 1 species
GUCCUAUAAUUAAUUAGUAUUUUUGGCCAAUGUCUAAGCACCAUUAUCAGUUUGGAAUUUGUUUGCUGCCAUAUAUAGUCGAAUCACCACUAUAAAUCCUCCACUAGUAAACCAUUUUUCCAUUUCUGUUUUAUAAUCUUCCUCAUUUCGAUUAAAUGUUUAAAGAUAUAUUACGCAAUAGUUUUUCUCCAUUUUCUUGGUUUAUUUUGCUUCGCACAAGUUCUAUUACAAACUGCUAUGGGACAUGCGAGAUAUUGCGAAGAUGCAUGGUGUAAAAUUAGACAGCUCAACUUGUAUAAAGAAACUUGGCAAGCUGGGCAUAUGUGGCUUGCUCAUGAUACUUACGUACAUGGCGGUGAAGGUCAUCUAGCAUCACAAACAAGGACUAAUUAAGAUUUGGGUAGAUAAUGUAGUAGCAACAAAAGUGAAAAGAAAUCCAUGUAUAUAUAAAUAGCAGAAUCUCAAACUACAUCCAAGUAAUCCAGUGGCACAAACUCACAAAUAUAAGACAGGAAUCGAGAAUGUUCAAAUAGAUGAAACUAAAUCAGAAACAAACAACUGAAUAACUCCCACAACUCCCUAUAUAAAAAGAUUAAUGCAAUGGCAAUAGACCACUGCUCAUAAGGUAUAUAAUCAUAAUCAAGGAUAAUUAAUUAGUUUCCAGGUGGUGGGGAGAGGAAUGGGAUGGAGGGAAUUGUGGUUGGGAUAGUAGGGAGUGAAGGCAUGCUUGGCAAUGGAGGCAAAUUAACCUUGGGGACACUUGGCAUGGUGGGUAAGUUAGGAAGUGGAGGCAGUGCAGGUUUAGGUAGAGAUGGUUGGGUUGUGGGCAGGGUUGGGAUGGUAGGCAAAGGUGGCAAUGUGGGCUUGGGCAUAUUUGGCACCGAUGGGAGAGGUGGUAAUUGGAGGAGAUGGCGAGCAGCCAAGGCUACAUUGAUGCCUGAGGCGGCCAAAGCAAUGGACAAACAAAAGAUGAAGCACUUGAAAUAAGCCAUCACCAGUAGAUGUU